GUGUUUGCUUUGGCAGCACAUGUCCAAAAAUUUGAAACGAUAAAGAGAAGAUUGGCAUAGCCCUCUACAAGGGUGGUGUGCAAAUUCCUGAAGCAUUCCAUAUUUUA